rnacentral:rRNA from 1 species
CUGGAGGUAUCAGAAGUGCGAAUGCUGACAUAAGUAACGAUAAAGCGGGUGAAAAGCCCGCUCGCCGGAAGACCAAGGGUUCCUGUCCAACGUUAAUCGGGGCAGGGUGAGUCGACCCCUAAGGCGAGGCCGAAAGGCGUAGUCGAUGGGAAACGGGUUAAUAUUCCCGUACUUGGUGUUACUGCGAAGGGGGGACGGAGAAGGCUAUGUUGGCCGGGCGACGGUUGUCCCGGUUUAAGCGUGUAGGUGUGUGUUCCAGGUAAAUCCGGUUCACUUUAACACUGAGGCGUGAUGACGAGGCACUACGGUGCUGAAGUAACAAAUGCCCUGCUUCCAGGAAAAGCCUCUAAGCAUCAGGUAACAUCAAAUCGUACCCCAAACCGACACAGGUGGUCAGGUAGAGAAUACCAAGGCGCUUGAGAGAACUCGGGUGAAGGAACUAGGCAAAAUGGUGCCGUAACUUCGGGAGAAGGCACGCUGACACGUAGGUGAAGUGAUUUACU